CCAAGGACAGCAAAUGCUGACGAGGAGAAGAGACGGACGAGCGUUUGCUUGCGGUUAAUACCGAAGGGACGGGAUGAAACAAGGAAGCCAGAAUGCAGCGGCCCCUCGAUAUCACCAGGAACUGCUGCAGGAGGAGGCGUUCUGGCACGGGUAACUAAGCUCUCCGAGCUGAAUCCUAGCCCUGAAGGAAAAAGCACUGGGGGAAGGCUACUCGGACACCUGCCACGUCGAGGGCAGGGGCAGGAGCUGACCCUUCCCCGACGGAUGGACGGACGGACAGACGCUGGUGCGGCGGUGACUCUUUGGAUAUCGUAGGUAAGGGGAGGCACGCUGGUGCCGAGCUCCAGGGCGGUUUGCCUGAACACGAUGCCCGGGGCAGGAGGUUACGCAUUGUGUCCGGGGCUGGGAGCUGGUCCCCGAGUCCCAUGUACUUGGGAGUGCCUGCGCUUGCCAGGGAGCCCGGUGCUGUUCCCAGAGCUGCGGGGAAUUUCCCUUGCGUUGCCUGGACCCUCGGGGCUCUUGGGGGUGUUUCCCCUCAUCGCAAGGGCAGCCAGAGCCCCUCCAGGGCUGCGUGAGGUCCCCGAACCGCUCCCGGAUUUGCUUUUGGCACUCCGCAGUGUCGCUCGUGUGCCUGGGGCAGCCUGCAGGCGCCAUCCUGUCAGCCGCGUUGAGCCCUGCGGCGUGCCUGGUGACCCCUCUGGUGUGCGCCAAGGCCCUUCCUCUGUAUUUUGGUCUGCCCCAGAGCCCUGCACUUGCCCUCUGAUGCCCUCAGGACCCCUCAGUUCACAUUCUGGGUUGCCCCCGAGCCUUCUGCGUGCCUUUCGGUGCGCCCCGUGGCCCCGUGUGUGUUUUGCGGCACGCCGCAGAGGUCUGUUUAGCUUUUUCUCCUGUCCUGGAGUUUUCUGGGUGCUUCUGGGUGUGCCCCAGGGCCCUCCUUUUGGUGCCCCCAGAGUCACUCUGUUUGCUCUAUCGUCGUUCUUUUUUUUUUUUUUUUUUUUUUUUUUUUUUUCCUUGACUUGUGUUGCACCCAGAGCUCUCGAUUUGUUCUCUUGUGCUCCGCAUACUCCCCUUUCCGCACUCUACACCCCAGGCAGGGCUCUCCCUUCAGCUCUCAGCAAGCUGCUGUCAGGAGAGUGGGGGUGCCUCUGCUGCCCUGGCAGCCC